AGAGAGAGAAUUAAUUCCUUGGAAGCAAGUUUGUUUCACGGGUAUUCCCCGCGUGGGAACAACACGAGUCGAGCAAAAGGAGGAGGGAGGGGAGGGGGGAAGGAGAGGAGUGGGAAUGAUCGAAAGGAGAAAAUUGCGAAAUGUCGAGGAUGAUUGAUUAUUUUUCCUUCGGUUAUCCGGUGUUUCGAGGCAAGGAGAAAGGGGAAGGAGAGGGAAGGAGGGGAUGAAGGUGUAUUAUUAUACAAGGGUAGGGAGGAGGGGCGGCGGGUGUGUCAAAGAAAACGUCGUCGUGGAUAAAUAUACAUCUGAAAUAAUAACGACAACCGAGCGUCUUCUCCAGGGAGUGAUGAGAGAGUGAGAGAGAAAGAGAGGGAGGAGAGACUUGUAUACAGUUAGAAAGAGAGAGAGAGAGAGAGAGAGGGGAAAGAGAGAUCAGAGUUAAUUGCGAUAUCAUUAUGAAAAUCGGUGACGUAUAACGCCUGUCCUAGUUACGUUCGAAGCGAAAAUAUACCACGUACAAUAAUAUAGCGCUAUAACGUUUGACCGAGUUAACGUGCGCGCGCGAGAGAAAGAGAAAGAUAAAUGUGUAUCUUUAUGAAAAAUAUUUCGUUGGAAUCGACGUCGCGAUGAUCGAGAGGUUUACUUCGUCGUAAAGUUUCGUGUGGAUUCGGGGAUGAGAUGGUGAAAGCACGAUGCGAUGCACAAUUGAUAUUUUUUCCGCACGAACGUUUCAAUAAUUAAUGCGUUGAGGUUAUAUUCGAUACUUCGUGCUAAAUAUUUUAUUUCAUGUGGAUUUGGGGAUAAAAAGUGAUAAAAGAAUGUUGCGAUUAUUGAUAUUUUGGAAGAAUCGUAAGAACGUUUCCAUAAUUAUUUUUCGAGGUUAUGAACGAAGGUAUUACUUGUGCCAAAUAUUUCGAGUUAUACGCGUUAAUUUGACGUGGAUUUGAGAAUGUAAUGAUAAAAAGGACGAUUAAUAUUUUGUGAUUAAUGUUUUGGAAGAAUCGUGAAAAUGAUUUCGAUAAUUUUUGAAGUUAUGAAUGAUAUUUGUGCUAAAUAUUUUAUGUUGUACAAAUUAAUUUGACGUGAAUUUGGAAAUGAAAUGAUAAAAAGGAUGUUGUGAUUAAUAUUUCGGAAGAAUGGUGAGAAUGUUUCAAUAAUUUUUGAGGUUAUGCGCGAUACUUGUGUUAAAUAUUUUAAGUUAUACGUUCAUUUCGUGGAUUUGAUAUGGAUUCGAGGAUGAGAUGAUAAAUAUCGGAAUAUCGUGUGAACAUUUCAAUAAUUAUCCGUUGAGGUUACGCGCGAUAUUUGUGCUAAAUAUUUUACGUUAUAUGUUAAUUGGAUUUGAUACGGAUUCGAGGAUGAGAUGAUAAAUAUAUUGGAAUAUCGCGCGAGCAUUUCGAUAAUUAUGUGGCUAUAUUUGUGCAAAAUAUUUUAUAUUAUAUGUUAAUUUCGUGGAUUUAAUAUGGUUUUUGGGAUGAAAUGAUAAAAGGAUGUUGCAACGCAUGAUGUGAUGAAUUGAGGUUAUACGCGAUAAAUAUCUUACGUAACGUAUCGUGGAAACGUACGUUAUUUAAUUGAGAAAAAAAUUUGAUUAAAUUCUAUGUGUAAUUUUACGUGUACCUUUGUUAUCGUUAUCAUUAUUAUUGUAAUCAAAAAUUAACGUAGCACAAUAUCGAUAUGGCACGUGUUUGAUAUUAAAACGAUGACGAAUUAAAAUAAUUUCAACCACUUAAAUUUUAUAAUCAAUUUUGGAUCGAGUUAAAUGUAUUAUUUU